GUUCUAAUUAAUCCCUUUUUCUUUUUGUCAAUAAUUAAUCCCCUUCCCCCCAACAAGAACAACAAAUAUAUAUAUGUAUAUAUAUAUAUAUAUGAACAUGUCAUCUCAUUCUUAAUUUCUUAUCCCAAAAAACAAAUUAAGGAACCGACAUCAAGGAACUGCAACAAAAAGGAUAAAAAUUGAAACCCUUCUGUAGUUUCUGUUGCUUAUUGCUAUUUGCUAUUAUUGUUGGUGGUGGUGGUGUUGCCGUUAGCACUACCGAUAAUGGAGGAGAUGGCGGCUGCCAGAGCUGCCGCGGAGGUGAGAGUCCCCGGGGAUCCGCGGUGAUGGCCGCGGUCGCAGCACUGACUGUGUCAACUAGUGAGGGCCGCUGUGCU
rnacentral:misc_RNA from 1 species